UCUCAUUUCUUUUUCCCAUCAUAAUCUUGUUCUUUCGUUCAUCCUAUAUAAAACUAAUCACCAAGGAAUACAUAGCAGUUUCCAUUUUACAGUCAUAAAAAAAAUGAAAAAAAAAAGUGUUUCGUAGAGAGAGUGUGAAAUAAUAAGCAUAUGGAGAACCUUUUCGAUUUCAUCUGUUGUCAUCUUAUUUAUACAGUAAUUUAUCCUUCAUUGCUGCUGCAUUUGACGCAUCGCCCGCCAAUGUUUCCAUCGUAAAGCCACCGACUCAAAACUAUCGACGGCAGGACGUACAUCAAGAGAAAAUACCGGUUUUCCAUCAGCAGAAUCAGGCGCUUCAUAAUAAUCAAUCACAUAUCGUACAAUGGAAUUGUCUUUACGCUGAACAUACCAAUCAUGACGGUCAAACGGUCCUUCACCCGAUCCCCAGCGAUUGGGAUUUAUGCGACCCAACAUCAUGUACCAUAAUGCACGAGGAGUUCUUUUAUUAGCAUUACCCUCAAACCUAAGCAGCUUGGGUUCUGUGUUCUCACCAGCUUCGCGUUCCCAAGCCUUAAUUUCCGACCAUGCACCUUCGUUCAGAAAGUUAUGAACUUGUACCAUUAUUGGUACAUUCUCACCACUAUCACGAUACCCCUUUCUCCACAUUGCAUUGUACAUUUGCUGAGGCGACGGAUACUCCCAAUUUUUACCAUCCACUUUCGGUAUACUACUAGUUGUUCUAGUCGUCUCCAAUCCCACCACCUGAUCAUCAACGGCGGUUUGGGGUAUGUUCUUGUACAUCAUGUUACUCUUGUCCACUUCAUAAGCCUCUUGCUUCUGAUCAUCGUUAUUUCCAAACCAGUUAAACCAGCCUCUUUUUGGUGUCGCAACCGGGCAUCCUUCGGGAACGUAUGAUUGUUGCUUGCUGUCAACCCCCGUCAAUACUUCAGAUACACCAGCUGGCUUUUGAUUAGAAUUUGACAUGGGACAUGUUGCCGGAGGUUGAACAGCUGGUGUAGCCUCAGAAUUCUGUUUUUCCCGUCCAAAUAAAUUAGAAAAGAAGCCGGUAGAAUUUUCAUUGCUUGCUUUGUGCAUUGGACAACCUGGAGGAGGAUUGGCUAGAGGAUGAUCAUGGGUAUCGACUGUUGAAGGUUUUUUAUGGAGCAUAGCAACAUCCGGUUCGCUGGCGACAUCAGUAUUCCUACUCCACAAGGAAUUCCACCAAGACGAUGAUUGUUGGUCUUUCUUUAUACCAUUUAUGUAUGCAUCAGGAUUUGCUUCGUUUGAACGAGCGAAUUUGGAAUGGUCUAUAGGACACUUCCCAGUACGAGGGUGAUCGGUUGUUGUUUCACUGCUAGUCAUACUCCAAAUAGAUAAAAGUCAAAAAAAUUCAGAAACGAGAUAAACUUGAGAACAAAAAAUGCGUAAAAUUAACCCUCUAAUAAUAAGAGACGAUAUGGACUAUGAAUUAUAGUGUAAUUCCUGUAAAAAGAAAAGAGAAGAGACAAGCGUGAUUUUGAGAUGUUAAAUUGAAUAUGACACGACAGCAUCCGCUUGUCCUGGGCUUUUGUAACUGAACCAAUAAUGCAACUGACUUAGUGUAAUUGGUUUCCCUUUUCCGUUAUAGUCCUUUUGCGCUUGUUAUGGAAUUAAUUGGAUAUUUGCAAACACUACACUACGCUACAUUUGAAUGAAUAAUCUUCGCUUGUAUGUAUAGCUGUUUACGGGAAAUUUCGAGAUGGAGCAAUCUUCAUUUUAAAAGUAUUACUCUUACUAGUACAGAAAUUAUAAUUUUAUAUUUCAAUGUUUACAGCCCUUCGAUCCUGAUGCGAUUUAAACGCGCUAUCAAUGAUUAAGUUUUAUGUACAUCUGCUGCAUCGAUUUCGAAGCAAAAUAUAUGUAUUUCAUUCAUCUAACUAUUUUACUUUAUAUUUUUUUAUCUAACUUAUCUCUUAAUCACUACUUUUCAAUUUAACUAAGAAAGCUGUUUCACUGCGGACAUGACAUACUGACGAUUAUAACGAAAUAUUCCAAUGCUUAUGAUUGAAUUCAUGAAGACGGCUUGGCUUUUCAAUUUUAUUCCCAUUUUUUUAGACUCAUCAUUGAAUCUGUCUGUGUCUUUUAUCCUCCAAAUUAUUUUUACGAUUUGAGAAAUGUUUUACAAUACCCAAUUAGCUUCAAUUUCUUUAUUUAUUUUAGUAAUAAUUACAAUAUUCUAUUGCUAUAUACUAUUAUUUGUAUAAUACUCGGCAACUUUGGCAAAAUCCAAAUACCAAUACAAUAAUUUAAAGGUGUUUUGGAAAUUACUGAACAUCAAACACAAUUAAGAUAUAGUUAUAUGCAUAGUAUAUAUAUUCGACAAAAUAAAA